AAUGUUGAUGUCUUCUAGAAGCACAAUCCAUAGGUCUGGAGCCUGGGUAUCCUGGUCUAUCUCCCCAGCAGAGGGCAGCACAAAGUCUACCUUCUUCAUCUUCCAUAUUAAUCUGCAAAUCCCUCUCUACGUUGUUAUCCUUUCUGGGGUCGGACUCAGGGAAAACACCAUCAUCUUCAUCUUCAUCAGUGUCCUCUUCACUCCACUGGACCCUAGCUGCGGUGUCUCGGGCCCUCUGCUUCAGAGCUGCUCUUGCAGUAAGCAAAAACUUUUCCUCCUUAUCCCUGGAGAUGAGAGAUGGCUCCACAGUCAUCCACCAUACCUUCAGAGCCUCAAAGACGCCCCUGGGUCAGCACACCAUCUUCCCCAGUCUUCCUCCUCGUCCCCAUCACUGUUCUGAAUUGGUGCUGGACACUUCUUACCUCGAGCCUGAGCAGCUACUGUGAAUAACUCUUCAAGCAAUGUUUUGACCCCAGGAGACUUAUUUGGUUUAGAGACUUCACGAGACCCUGCCCUCUUCUUGGCUGCUCUGUUUCAGGCACUACUUCACAGCCUUUUGAAAUUCUCAUCACUAGCUGCAGGCAAAAAUCUGAGCAGUUUGGUCUCUUCACCUUUCUGGUUUUGGGCCUUUUGGCCUGACCUAUGUGUCUCCUUCUUCCUAGGAUUUAACUUGUGCCCAGUGUUAACUGAAGGCUCAGCUUGCCUGGACCUGGUUGAGGCAGACCCAGUACCUCCAGCCAAGGCCUGUGCCACGUGGUCUUGAGGAAGAGCUAGGAUUACAUUCUUUAGUAUUAUAAUCAGCGCCCUUGAGACAAAUUUAAGCUGGUCUUAUUAUUUUAAGGAAAACUACAUAGGACAUAUGUUCUCUGUGGAAGUGAUAUUAUGUCAGUCACAUAUGAUAAGUGCCAAACAAUCAAAGUCACAGUUUCCAGUGAUAGGGCUCACUUUAAAGCUAAAGGUUGACAUGAAAAAUAUACAAGGAAAACACCAAUGUUGUUAAUCUGGAGUGCCUCACUUACUUAUUUUUAUUAAACUUAGGAGUAGCAUAUGAAUAGGUUGUGUGUUGAAGCAUGACACUUCUGUGGUCCUUUUCAACAAUUCUGAUGGAAUGUGUCUCUAUGAACGCUUUCAAAUCCCAUCUAGCUCAUCAUUUAAUCAUCUAUAUGUUGUUGAAAAAGUACAAGGUUGUCAUGACAACUAGAGAGAUAAUUUAGUCAACAUAACUCAUUCCACAUAACAUAACACUUUGCCUUUGUUCAAAUAUAUUUCUAUAAAUAUUCAUAUUCAGCAUUUUAAUAGUAUGCUUUAUAUUAGAAUGUGUGGACCCCAGAAUUAAAUAAGACCGGUCAGUUCCUGACACUAUUGUCAUGUGCCAUUAUUCUUCUCUAGCUGAAGUCACAACCUUGGUCAUUGAAGGUAUUAUCCAUGCCCCCCAGGCUUAAAUUAAGCUCUUGGGGAAUUCUUUCCUGACAUAGAGUUUGGUGAGCAUAAAAAUUAGGUUAAUCCUACAAAAAAAAAAAAGGGUUCAGAGGAAAGAAUUCAACAUCAAAGUGGAGCACAUCAUUCAAUUUACAAGACCUAUAGUGGGCAGACAUUGGAACUGGAAAAAGGGAUGAAAGUCAGGAAUACUUUGCGGGAGUAAGGAGGAUCAUAGCUAGUAUCUAGUUAUGAAACUAUUAACACACUGGAAAUUAUUUCUUUAUAAUUUUUACUUCUNNNNNNNNNNNNNNNNNNNNNNNNNNNNNNNNNNNNNNNNNNNNNNNNNNNNNNNNNNNNNNNNNNNNNNNNNNNNUUAUAUUGUUAAAUUAUUUGAAUAACAGAAGUAAAAGAACACCUAAAUUAAGACUAAAUAUAAUUUAUAACAUCAUUUUUUUCUUCAUUCAGUGAUUCAAUGCUUUGUGAAACAGGAAGUGUAAACAUACUCACACACAUUUCAGUGUUCCUUAGACAAAAGGUUAGAAUUUGGGUUAUGUGGGAAAAAUAAAAAAAA
ensembl:lincRNA